UAAUGUCUGGGAAACUGCCUGAUGGAGGGGGAUAACUACUGGAAACGGUAGCUAAUACCGCAUAAUGUCGCAAGACCAAAGUGGGGGACCUUCGGGCCUCAUGCCAUCAGAUGUGCCCAGAUGGGAUUAGCCAGUAGGUGGGGUAACGGCUCACCUAGGCGACGAUCCCUAGCUGGUCUGAGAGGAUGACCAGCCACACUGGAACUGAGACACGGUCCAG
rnacentral:rRNA from 1 species